GGAGGUCCAGCCCAUGACUCAGCACAGAAGGAGCAGUUAGAGCCUGGUGAGGAGGACAUGUGCAAGAACUAACAGCCUUUUUAUUUCACUUGCAUGACAUCAACCGUAGUUAUGUCACACACGCCUGGGAUGGCCUCCGUCUGUUACUGAACAAACUUAUGGUGACUUGGGCUGCACAGUCAGUCCUUCCCUGUCCAGCUUAGAAAGGCCUUCCCAGGGACUUCCCUAGUGGCCCAGUGGUUAAGAAUCCGCCUGCCGAUGCAGGGGACUCGAUCCCUGGUCCGGGAAGAUCCCACAUGCCGCGGAGCAACUAAGCCCAUGCACCACAACUACUGAGCCUGCACUCUAGAGCCUGCGUGCCACAACUACUGAAGCCCACGCGCCUAAAGCCUGUACUCUGCAACAAGAGAAGCCACCACAGUGAGAAGCCCGUGCACCGCAACAAAGAGUAGCCCCCACUCACUGAAACUAGAGAAAGCCUGUGUGCAGCAACGAAGACCUAACACAGCCAAAAAUAAAUAAAAAAAGAAAAUAAAUUUUAAAAAAUAAUAAA